rnacentral:rRNA from 1 species
CCUACGGGGGGCAGCAGUGAGGAAUAUUGGUCAAUGGACGAGAGUCUGAACCAGCCAAGUAGCGUGAAGGAUGACUGCCCUAUGGGUUGUAAACUUCUUUUAUAUGGGAAUAAAACGUUCCACGUGUGGGAUUUUGUAUGUACCAUAUGAAUAAGGAUCGGCUAACUCCGUGCCAGCAGCCGCGGUAAUACGGAGGAUCCGAGCGUUAUCCGGAUUUAUUGGGUUUAAAGGGAGCGUAGGUGGAUUGUUAAGUCAGUUGUGAAAGUUUGCGGCUCAACCGUAAAAUUGCAGUUGAAACUGGCAGUCUUGAGUACAGUAGAGGUGGGCGGAAUUCGUGGUGUAGCGGUGAAAUGCUUAGAUAUCACGAAGAACUCCGAUUGCGAAGGCAGUUCACUGGACUGCAACUGACACUGAGGCUCGAAAGUGUGGGUAUCAAACAGGAUUAGAUACCCUUGCAGUC